CUCGCAAGGUAGACGAUGGGUCCGGUUUUGGACAGGGGAAGGGUUGGGACUCAGGUCUCUGACCGACCUUAUCCUGUUUCGUCGCACCCCAUAACUCCUAUGUACUUACUUACCCAUUGCAACCUACCCAUGUUCCCCUCCCCCUCUUUUAAUCUCUUCAUCCGGAAUCAUCAUGUCAUCUUAUUUCUUUCCCUCCCUUCUGCAGCAAAACACAAGCAGAAGAAGAAAGGAGGCUUACGGAACAGAGAAAAAAGAAGAGGCUCGGAUCGAUCGGGUUGGGCGGCGGCAGAGGAAGAAGAGAAGAUGAUGUCCAGAUCGUAUACCAACCUACUCGAUCUGGCGUCCGGGAACUUCUCGGCGCUGAGCCUGGGCGGGGGGCGGGCGCCGCGGCGACUGCCGCGAGUGAUGACGGUGCCGGGCACGCUGGCGGACCUGCAGGAGGAGGAGGAGCGCGCCAACAGCGUGGCGUCGGACGUGCAGUCGUCGCAGGCGCAGGACCGCAUCAUCAUCGUGGCCAACCAAUUACCGGUGCGCGCCCGCCGCCGGCCCGAUGAUCGCGGCUGGACUUUCGCCUGGGACGACGACUCUCUCAUCCUCCAGCUCAAGGAUGGCCUCCCCGAUGAUAUGGAGGUCCUCUACGUCGGUUCCCUACGCGUCGACGUCGAGGCUCACGAACAGGACGACGUCGCCCAGGCGCUGCUCGAGCGGUUCCAGUGCGUCCCCACCUUCCUGCCCCCGGACCUCCACGAGCGAUUCUACCAUGGCUUCUGUAAGAACAACCUCUGGCCCCUGUUCCACUACAUGCUUCCCUUCUCCGCCGAUCAUGGCGGCUCCGGAAGCCGCUUCGACCGCUCCUUGUGGGAGUCGUACGUGCUCGCCAACAAGCUCUUCUCCCAGAAGGUCAUCGAGGUGAUCAACCCGGAGGACGACUACGUCUGGAUCCACGACUAUCAUCUUAUGGCCCUCCCCACCUUCCUCCGCCGCCGCUUCAAUCGCCUCCGCAUGGGCUUCUUCCUCCACACCCCCUUCCCCUCCUCCGAGAUCUACCGUACCCUCCCCGUCCGCGAGGAGAUCCUCAAGGCCCUCCUCAAUUGCGACCUCAUCGGCUUCCACACUUUCGACUACGCCCGACACUUCCUCUCCUGCUGCAGCCGCAUGCUCGGCAUCGAGUACCAAUCCAAGCGGGGAUACAUCGGUCUCGACUACUUCGGCCGCACCGUCGGCAUCAAGAUCAUGCCUGUCGGCGUCCACAUGGGCCAGCUCCGGUCCGUGCUCCGCCUUCCCGAUAAGGAGUGGCGGGUUAACCAGCUCCGCCAGCAGUUCGAGGGCAAGACCGUGCUUCUGGGCGUCGACGAUAUGGACAUCUUCAAGGGUAUCAACCUCAAGCUGCUCGCCUUCGAGCACAUGCUGAAGCUCCACCCAAAGUGGCAGGGCAGUGCGGUCCUCGUCCAGAUCGCCAAUCCCCCGAGGGGCCGAGGAAGGGACCUCAAAGAGAUCCAGGGCGAGAUCGAGGAGAGCUGCGAGCGAAUCAACAAGGCGUUUGGGCACGAGGGGUACAGCCCGGUGGUCUUCAUCGACCGCCCCGUCUCCGUGGUCGAGAGGAUCGCUUACUAUACCAUCGCGGAGUGCGUGGUGGUCACGGCGGUAAGGGAUGGGAUGAACCUCACACCCUACGAGUAUAUCGUGUGCAGGCAGGGAAUCGCCGAUUCUCAAGGUUCCCAAGCUGAUAGCCCGAGGAAUAGCAUGCUGGUGGUCUCAGAAUUCAUCGGCUGCUCGCCCUCGCUCAGCGGAGCCAUUCGGGUCAAUCCAUGGAACAUAGAGACCACAGGGGAGGCCAUGAAUGAGGCCAUCUCUCUUUCAGACGGUGAGAAACAGCUGCGGCAUGAGAAGCACUAUCGUUAUGUCAGCACUCAUGAUGUUGCGUAUUGGUCGAAGAGCUUCAUGCAAGACAUGGAGAGGACGUGCAAGGACCAUUUCAGAAGGAGGUGUUGGGGAAUUGGUUUGGGAUUCGGAUUCAGGGUGGUGGCGCUCGAGCCUAAUUUCAGGAAACUCCAUGUUGAUGGAAUCGUGUCUGCUUAUGUGAAAGCUAAGAGUAGGGCUAUCUUGCUGGAUUAUGACGGGACGUUGGUGCCACCGACAUCCAUGAACAAGAGGCCCAGUGCGGAUGUUAUCAGGAUCAUCAAUACCCUCUGUGCAGAUAAGAAGAAUGUAGUCUUUCUUGUCAGCGGAAGAGGUCGGGAAAGCUUAGAGACGUGGUUUUUGCCUUGUGAGAAGCUCGGAAUUGCAGCGGAACAUGGAUACUUUAUUAGGUGGAGUAGGGACAAAGAAUGGGAAACCCAUUGCCAGAACACUGAUUUUGGAUGGAUGCAGAUUGCUGAGCCAGUCAUGAAACUAUAUACAGAGUCCACUGAUGGAUCUUCGGUUGAAACCAAAGAAAGUGCCUUAGUUUGGCACCAUCAGGACGCAGACCCUGGCUUUGGUUCUGCUCAGGCAAAGGAAAUGCUCGAUCAUCUAGAAAGCGUGCUUGCAAAUGAACCAGUCUCAGUGAAGAGUGGCCAGUUUAUCAUUGAAGUCAAACCUCAGGGAGUCACCAAAGGUUUAGUGGCAGAGAAGAUUCUGUCCUCCAUGGUGGAGAAUGGUAGACAAGCUGAUUUUGUACUGUGCGUUGGCGAUGACAGGUCGGAUGAGGACAUGUUUGAAGACAUUGCUGGUGUAGUGACAAAGAAACUGGUAGCUCCUCACACAUCAAUAUUUGGUUGCACCGUCGGGCAGAAACCAAGUAAGGCGAGGUAUUAUCUGGACGACACAACUGACGUCAUAAACAUGCUCAGAGCACUUGCAGAUGCCUCCGAGCCAUCCUUAUCUUCUCCUGAGGAAAUACUGGAACCUAUGCCAUCCGCUGAGACCAAAAGUGAUUACUCCCAAUGACAGCAUUCUUCUGAUUGGUUUCCUCAUAUUCCAUUGGCACGGUAAAAGUAAAGCUUGAACAGCUCUCUGCUCUGCGAAAGAGAUCUUAUGCAAGCGGACAGCAUAUUAGGUUUGAUCAGACUGCUUGAUAGCGAUCCUCCCGAGCAUGUUCAUACGUCGAUCAGCAAUGAAGUAAGCUGCUGAGCGAUGCCGUCAAAACCCCCAGGGGAAGUUCUGCUGCUGGAUCGAGUGGAAACCAGUCUAGGAAGUGGAUAAUUACUGUUUGUCUCAAUAUUUUUUUGACAUGGAACUCUUGCGGUAGAACAAAAUCCGAUGAUUUGACAUGUUAACCAAGAUGAAUAUCACGGAACACACAGGAUUUAUUUAACUAAAGGCGGAUUCAACAGUGUUUGCUUCGUUGAUUUCUGAGAUGUUGGCCAAUGUGAAGUCCUCCAUUGGCCGAGUAUGAGUGCUGUCAUCUCCACCUGCUGCAGAAAAGAAGCGUCGUCUCUCCCUCUAUCUCUCUCUCUCUCUCUCUAUUCUCUUCCACAGUACUGAGAUGUGGCAGUUGAAGAAUCCAAAGGUGUCCUGCUAACUUUUAUUGGUUCGCUCUCUUUCACUUCAUCGGCGAAGAUGAAGUUUGCCUCCGUGACUCCACCUUUCAUCUUUGAACAGUAUAUAUAACCACUCUUACACAGACGCCAUGUGACGACUGCUGCAGGGAGAUAAUGAAAGGAGUUUGAGUUUUGAGCUCAUGACUUGCUCUGAUUCCAUGAUAGGGAUCUGAGUUAAAUGUUCUGAGCUCAAUCGAGUUGUAUCCACCUCAGCCACUUUACCCAAAGCAUAAGGCAAGCAACUGUUGGCACCAAAGGAAGCAGGUGGACCUGCAACCCCCCAUUGCUUCAGAGACAAAUUAGCAUGACUCUUAUCAUGGAACAUUGUUUUCUGCAUGCAAAACGUUUUUGGGGGAAGACGGUGA